GGGGGCGUAUAUGGCUUUCGACGGGGGUAUGUUGUGCUGCAGAAGCGAGUCGAUGGUUUCCUGGACCAGCGUUAAAAAACUGGGAAUUAAAUAUAAACGCAGAAGAUAAUUUUGCAUUAGCAGCUUAGUAUAGCUGCUCGUUCUACCCGAGAGUCCCACGACUUGGGAUAGGGCGUCGACCAGUGGGGAACCGAGCCUUGGAAAGCUUUGACCAAGGAACGGAAAUUAUGAAGCUACUGAAAUCUCAAUCCUGUCAGUAGGAGUGAGAUGGAGGGAAUGUUAAAAUACUGACUGCACUCGGAGAUGCUGUGGCAUUGCUGCUUUCGGACAGGGGUUCGACUCCCCUCGCCUCCACCA
rnacentral:tmRNA from 2 species